rnacentral:rRNA from 1 species
UAGGGAAUCUUCGGCAAUGGACGGAAGUCUGACCGAGCAACGCCGCGUGAGUGAAGAAGGUUUUCGGAUCGUAAAGCUCUGUUGUAAGAGAAGAACGAGUGUGAGAGUGGAAAGUUCACACUGUGACGGUAUCUUACCAGAAAGGGACGGCUAACUACGUGCCAGCAGCCGCGGUAAUACGUAGGUCCCGAGCGUUGUCCGGAUUUAUUGGGCGUAAAGCGAGCGCAGGCGGUUAGAUAAGUCUGAAGUUAGAGGCUGUGGCUUAACCAUAGUAGGCUUUGGAAACUGUUUAACUUGAGUGCAAGAGGGGAGAGUGGAAUUCCAUGUGUAGCGGUGAAAUGCGUAGAUAUAUGGAGGAACACCGGUGGCGAAAGCGGCUCUCUGGCUUGUAACUGACGCUGAGGCUCGAAAGCGUGGGGAGCAAACAGGAUUAGAUACCCUGGUAGUCCACGCUGUAAACGAUGAGUGCUAGGUGUUAGACCCUUUCCGGGGUUUAGUGCCGUAGCUAACGCAUUAAACACUCCGCCUGGGGAGUACGACCGCAAGGUUG